CAUUAGAGAAAAAUGAAAUAAUAAUCGCUGAGAAAACAAUGGAACUUUAAAAUAAAUCGUGGUAUUUCCACAGAGUACUAGUAUCGAUAAUGGCGGUGCUACUCUCUGGUCGAAGCUGUAAGCGUAGGGUUGCCAAUUUUAGUCCACACAAGAUAGCCUGGUGGAGCGGGGGACAGGCUCUCUUUUUUUGGUUUUCUUUUUUUUAUUCGUUGAAACGCCGGUUGGAUCUAAACGGGAUGAAUGAAUCAUGGUGAACGUAUCCGUCGUGGAAAGCUUUUCAACAUGACAAGCAGAAAUAAAAAUAGGCUUUGGUUUGGGAGCUUUUCUAUCGCAUCGACAGAAAAUCCCAGCGUUGUACGGAGUACUUUACAAAUAUAUUUGCAUCUACACCAGAGCCAUGUGAUGUCGGUACGGUAGCGACCUCUCUUGGCAAGCCCACAUCCAUCGAAUAGGAAGGUAGC
rnacentral:sRNA from 2 species